CUGGGUUGGCCUCAGCGACGGGGGCGGGAGAGGGGUUGGCAGCGGCGGGCCCCAGCACCACCUCCACCAUCAGCACCACCACCAAUGCUACAAGGGAUCUCAUUGCCACCAGCUACGGGAGGGAAACAUGAUAUAGAUGAGGAAAUCCUCAAGACUCCUGCGGCGCCGCCUGCCGUAGUAGCCGCCGCCGCACCAGCCGCAGGACCCGCCGCACCCGCCGCAGCCGCAGCCGACGCAGCCGCCGUGGUGGUGGUGGUGGUGGCUACGUCUGCCAGCCAGGUACCCCUAACAGUAAGAUGCAUCAUCCACAAGUCCGUGACUAGAAGACAUGCACUAACCCCGACAAAGGCCAGGGCGCCAAUGCCCGGGCGGUGGUGGUGGUGGUAGUGGUGAGGCUCGGGCUGCACCACCGUCGUCGCCACCGCCGCCACGAC